rnacentral:rRNA from 1 species
GACGGAAGGUGCAAGCGUUGCUCGGAAUCACUGGGCGUAAAGGGUGCGUAGGCGGCCGUGCAAGUCUGGCGUGAAAGCCCCGGGCUCAGCCCGGGAAGUGCGCUCGAAACUGCGCGGCUCGAGUGCCGGAGGGGAGAGUGGAAUUCCUGGUGUAGCGGUGAAAUGCGUAGAUAUCAGGAAGAACACCAAUGGCGAAGGCAGCUCUCUGGGACGGUACUGACGCUGAGACGCGAAAGCGUGGGGAGCGAACAGG